rfam:Fukomys damarensis contig148506, whole genome shotgun sequence.
AUCCUUUUGUGCUUUAGAAGGGAGAGAAUUGGGUUUUCAUGUUAUUGUGGUAAGAGGUGCCUCCUUCAAACCUUGUAAUGACAUCUAGCCUAACUCCUCAGAGG